ensembl:lncRNA
GGGAGAUCACUGAUCAAAAUCCUGUUCCGUGCGGGGGAAGCCAGCGCCUCUGGACUCCAGAUGUGACUCUCUGAGAGACUCUCAUUGCCCAUCUCCAGCAGUGAUUCUUCUGCAGGUCUCAUCAACCCUGGGAAACUGGGCAGGAAAAGGCCAAGAGCGUGGUUCUUCUGGUGCCCUUCCAUCAGGCUGUGGAGGAGGAGGAGGCUGUGGGCUGGGCUGGCUGUGCCCAGACUGCAGGGCAGUGCUGGAGCUCCCUGUGAGUACCAGUGCUGUGUCCACCACUGAGAAGCCAUGCUCCCAGCUGCAGAGGCACUGCAAAAUGUGGAAAGAGCCCUGGCUGCGUAAUGAGCAUGUGAUGUUCUGAUGGUUCUGCACAUCAUCCGAGUGUCCUUUGGCAGCAACAGUUGGCCCAAGCCUUGGAGCAGCAGCUGAUCUACCAAGUGCAAGUUAAAAGAAUCACAGAGAAGCUGUGGUAUAUUUUCCAAGAGAGAAUAUGAAGAAAAAGGAGCUGCAGCCGUGCAUUUGCUUUGAAGGAGCACAGGAGGCACUGUGAUACCAAACCUUCCUUGGCUCGACUUCGGCAUGUGGCAAUUGCCUCAGCAUCAACAGAAGUGGCAGAAGCAUUCUAAAACCGUAGGCAAAAUCCUUGCAGCAGGAAGAGCACGAAGGGCAGGCUGGGACUUCUGAGGGCUCACGAUUUUCCAUGCAGCAUCUGACUUUGCACCCUCCCUCUCAGCUGCAUGCCCAGCACCAUGCCCUUCAGUGUGGAUUUCUGUGUAUUUCCAGAUGUUUGUAGAGCAGUCUUCUGCAGAAUUCUUCAUUGUCUACCAGAAAUAGAAUAAAUAUCAAUCUGAACCUCUAGCCAGAGAGUCAAUUUCAAAUCAUGAUGCAUUUUGGAAGUAGUUUAAUCUGGAAGGACUGGGGGGAUUCUUGGUAGCAAGUCUGUCUUGCUGUUGAAAGUCCUGCAUGUUUUGUGCACAUGUGGUAGUUCCCUUUCUCUUUGGUAUAUGCAUGUGACUGUCUAAUGCUAUUGGAGAUUUCAUUUGGGCAUUGAUGUAAGAACAGGCCCCGUUCACUGCACGUGUACUAACUACCAGUAUUAUUUGUGAUGCAAGCAUUUCUAGCAAUUUGAAGUGAUCCAAUGAUUUUUAAAUCAUUCUUAAUUUCAUAAGUCUACUCCUUUAAUCUCUUUCAAAUUAGUGAAAAUGUAAGGCAUUCUAAGCAUUUCUGAUCAUUCUUCAUGGCUUUGGCCCUAUAAAGCCGAUCUUUUCCAAAGUUAAGCACUUAAAAAUUUGAAGUACUCCAAUAAAUUUAAAUUGGCAUAUUCUGUGCAUAUCAAUUUAGAAUUAUUAGAGCAUUAGUGCCUAGGAGUGAUGGCUGAGGGCAUGCAAACCAGUUCAUACAUUGAUUUUUAAUGACUUUUUAUUGAUUCUGUGCUUUUUAAGCUUGAUACCCUUAGGUUGCCUCUUACAUGGAGUUAAGAGGUUUCUGAUGAUACACUAAGUUCAGGAGAGGCAUCAUUUUCCUCUUUUUGUUUUCUCCUUAUGGCUUAUUAAUACAACUUAGCUCUGAUGCAAAGACCAAAUGCACUUGAUUUGUGGCUUUGGAAGUGGUGAUUGUGACUUUAACAGGAUGUGAAUCUUCAUGUUUCCCCAGCCUAUCUGUAGACAAGGUUUAUGCUCAAACCUUUAAGGUCUCUCCUCCCCUCAGUGUGUGCACUCUGCUCACUGCAGUGAUGGAUGCCCUGGGCUUGCACUGACAGCAGAAAGAAGCUUCUUUGUAAUUUUUAAAUGUCAAUCUUAAUUUGUUGGGCCAAGAUAUUGUAGGUGUCAUAAAGCACAAAGUGAAAAUGUGCUUUAGUUCUUUUACCUUUUGAAAAUCAUUCAUUUAUAUCACAAAGCACACAUUCCCUUGUUCAAAUACUAUUUGUUACAUUUGAUGCUGCCCUGCUGACCAGCAUGCUGUCAAGGCAGUCAGUACUGUUGGUAAUGGCUGUGGUGAGCAGGCCUGGCACUGCCCUGUGGCCAUCCUCCUCUGGGGUAGGAGGAAGGCUGUGAUGGUGUGCAAGCCCAGGGAAAUGCAGAGCCCCUUGGUGUGGCUGCCCUUGGCUGGCUGGUGGCAGCUGAAGGAUGUGCCCAGACACACAGGGGGCAGCUCAGGAAAGCACCACGCUGAGCCACUACACCACUGCCCUUGCUUGAGUGUGUGAUGUGCUUUGUCCAAAGUCGUCUUAUGUGGGUCACAACAGGACAAGUGGGAAUAUUUCUAAUAGAUUAAAUUCUUGUGGGUUCUCCUCAGUGCUUCUCCCCUGCUGCUUCGGCUGUGCUGUGUGAGCCUUUUUGGGAGGCAGAGACUCAGAGCCUGUCUCGUAGACCACUGCCUGUGAUGCGUGGAGACCAUGGCAUGCAGGUGUCCCUCUGCUCCCGCCAGGCAUGAUCCCUCUGGCUGCAGUUAAGGCACGUAGCCGUCUGAGGAGACAGUAAUUGCUGCUAACUGUGAUGGGCGCUUCUGUCCGUAGGCUUUGUUUAGGGCAAAUUCCUCUGCAAUUGCAUUGUUAGAAGCCAUGGGCCUGUUAAAGUUGGAGUUAUUAGGCCAUGUGCUUUCCGUGUGUUGUCAUUGUGGGAAUGCCACCAGAGCCGACGUCUGUGCAGGGCAGGGGAAGUGUUAAGUGAAGAAUAAAAACAAGUCCAAAUUCCCAUUUGGAAACUGCAUGCCUCAACAAAUACCACUGUUCGUAGCAAGUUAUUAGCUUUGUGGUUGUAAUUCUGGUCCUUUUCAGAAGGGAGGUGGAAAAAAGCAUGUAAAAGAGAUUUUUGACACUUCACGGUAUAUUGACUGAACAGCAGAAAGCUCCCCAGUCUGCUCGUU